UACAGAGGGUGCGAGCGUUGUCCGGAAUCACUGGGCGUAAAGGGCGCGUAGGCGGCUUGAUAAGGUUGCGGUGAAAGCCCGGGGCUCAACCCCGGGUCGGCCGUGGCAACUGUCGAGCUGGAGCACUGUAGAGGCAGGUGGAAUUCCGGGUGUAGCGGUGGAAUGCGCAGAGAUCCGGAAGAACACCGGUGGCGAAGGCGGCCUGCUGGGCAGUGGCUGACGCUGAGGCGCGACAGCGUGGGGAGCAAACAGG
rnacentral:rRNA from 1 species